rnacentral:ncRNA from 1 species
CAAAGGCUUGGUCCUGGCUUUACUAUCAGCUUUAGCUAAACUUACACAUGCAAGUAUCCGCACACCAGUGAGAAUGCCCUACAGAUCCCCUUCCGGGAGCUGGGAGCUGGUAUCAGGCUCAGACCCUCUGGCCCACGACACCUUGCUACUUAGCCACACCCCCACGGGUACUCAGCAGUGACCGACAUUAUGCCAUAAGUGAAAACUUGACUCAGUUAAAGGCUAAGAGGGCCGGUAAAUCUCGUGCCAGCCACCGCGGUUAUACGGGAGGCCCAAGUUGAUAAAAAUCGGCGUAAAGCGUGGUUAGGAAAAUCUCAACUAAGGCCGAACAUCCCCCCCGCUGUUAUACGCUAGAGGGGACUUAGAAGCACAAUUACGAAAGUAGCUUUAUGAUAUCUGAACCCACGAAAGCUAAGGUACAAACUGGGAUUAGAUACCCCACUAUGCUUAGCCCUAAACAUUGACAACUCAACACACCCGUUGUCCGCCUGGAAACUACGAGCGUUAGCUUCAAACCCAAAGGACUUGGCGGUGCUUUAGAUCCCCCUAGAGGAGCCUGUUCUAGAACCGAUGAUCCCCGUUCAACCUCACCCCCUCUUGCUCUUUUCCGCCUAUAUACCGCCGUCGCAAGCUUACCCUUUGAAGGAUUAAUAGUAAGCAAGAUCGGUACCGCCCAGAACGUCAGGUCGAGGUGUAGCGAAUGAGGGGGGAAGAAAUGGGCUACAUUCCCUAAUUCAGGGAAUUACGGAUGAUGUCGCUGAAAUGCGAAUUUGAAGGUGGAUUUAGUAGUAAGCAUGAAAGUAGAGUGUUCUGCUGAAACCGGCCCUGAAGCGCGCACAUACCGCCCGUCACUCUCUCCGAAAUAUGGAAAUUGCCCUAACUAAAAAGAUACAGCACUAGAGGAGAGGCAAGUCGUAACAUGGUAAGUGUACCGGAAGGUGCACUUGGAUAAAC